rnacentral:rRNA from 1 species
UACGUAGGGUGCGAGCGUUGUCCGGAAUUAUUGGGCGUAAAGAGCUCGUAGGCGGUCUGUCGCGUCGAUCGUGAAAACUUGGGGCUUAACCCUGAGCUUGCGGUCGAUACGGGCAUGACUGGAGUUCGGCAGGGGUGACUGGAAUUCCUGGUGUAGCGGUGAAAUGCGCAGAUAUCAGGAGGAACACCGGUGGCGAAGGCGGGUCUCUGGGCCGAUACUGACGCUGAGGAGCGAAAGCGUGGGGAGCGAACAGG